UACGGAGGGUGCAAGCGUUAUCCGGAUUCACUGGGUUUAAAGGGUACGUAGGCGGGCAUAUAAGUCAGUGGUGAAAUCCUGCGGCUCAACCGUAGCACUGCCAUUGAAACUGUAUGUCUUGAGUAUGAUCGAUGUAGGCGGAAUGUAGCAUGUAGCGGUGAAAUGCAUAGAUAUGCUACAGAACACCAAUAGCGAAGGCAGCUUACAAGGUCAUUACUGACGCUGAUGUACGAAAGCGUGGGUAGCGAACAGG
rnacentral:rRNA from 1 species